AUGGAGCAUCAGAGCAUAUCAAAAGUUGGAAUUGUCACAUCUCUUCAGGCAUGUUGUUAUGUCAUUGCUGCUGCAAAUCCAGUUGGAGGAAGAUAUGAUUCCUCAAACAGAAGAUCUAAACAUCUAAUGGUGAUGUUCUUUCUAAUGAGUAGGUCAUACCUUAUCUCAGAAGAAAUGUGGCCAACGAAUAAUAGUAGGCCAGCAGGAAAAAAUUGCCACAAAAUUCUGAAGUUUAUGAAUACGAAUCAUAAUACAUUUGUUUAA